GCCUUCGUGGUGUAAUGGUCAGCACACUGAGCCGGUAUUUCAGAGGUCCGCGGUUCGAUUCCCGACGAAGGCG
rnacentral:tRNA from 1 species